AAUUUCAGUGUGGCCGUAAAUUAUGACUUAUCGGAACCAUCGCGCGGGUAGCUGCGUCACCCCUCCCCGACGCGCCUAAUAUAUCGCGUGGCUCCUCCGUGUGAUUUACGCCGCGCGGGACCUCGAUUUAGCGAGACACACGCGCAGAAUUUACCCCCAUGAGGAGAUUUUAUCACUUUUGGCCCCGCGGUGUUGCUCUCGGGCUCGGAAAUGCGGGUUUUGGUCAAAGAUUCGUUUUCGUGGUGAUUCGAAGCUUGGUACGACUCGGGUUUCACUGCAGGAGGAAGUUUCAGACUUUUUAAUGUCAUGUCUUCGGUUUGUACUUUCAUGGCGGUCUUCUGAAGUGACACCCCGUGGUUUUUCGUUCCCCAGGUGUGAUGUCUUGGUUCCAGUCGCCGCGGAGACGUUAAAUAACUCAAGAUGGUUCGGAAGCUUCGUUCGUCUCGCUUCGGUGUUUCGCGCGGAGCCCCUUGUCAUUUAUUCUCCGCCCGCCAUCUUCACGAGCGGGCCGGGCGGGAGGGCAGACCUGUGUAUGCGUCGCUCCUCCAUUUUUGCGAUAUUCCUGUGAUUUAUUAGUGUUUUCUGUGUCUUCUGCGCGUGAGAGGAAUCGUCACACCUCACUCUGAUUGCCGCAUCUCACCUGGGGAAGUCACGGGCGCCGCUUCAGGCACCUCCAGCAGCGUCCUCCUUGCCCUUCGCCAACCUCCCUAAACUGCCUUCGCCUUCAAGUCUCUCCAUGCAUGCCGUAAUGUGGCAGGAAUGGACCUUUGGAUGAGUGGCAGAUCCAUGUUUGGCAGCAUGGCACUCGAGAAGUCCAAGUCUUCCACUCUUGGGCAGGGAAAUUCUCCUGGCUGACUCACAUUGUCCAUGAACCCGUUGACUUUGGGGGCAGCUCCGUGACUCCCCUUUGUGUGGCCGUUGGUGAGUGGUG